AUUCGGAGCUGGAACUCAGCUCGCUGACCCCAAGCAGUGUUCCCUUCUUUUCGCCAGGUUUGCAUCCAAGAGAGGGGAGGACAGGGGCAAAAGGAUGCAGGGAGGCUGCUGAUUUCCACUGAAGAGCUAAUUUCCUGUGAGACAUUAACAGUGAUUUAAGAAAAAGAUUCCUGUAACUGAGACAAUUAGGAAAAAAGUAAACAAACGGAGCAGGAUUUGGGCAUAACAGCAUGCUCCUCCCAUCCCCCAAAUCCCAGGAGUGUCACUGAGUAAUGUCUUACAAUAACAGAAUGCAGGAGAGCACAUAUCAAUGAAGAAAAGACAAAAUGUACUUAUCCAUGAAGCUGAGGUUAAGAAACCAGUGUCUUCAAGAGCCAGGGACAGCACUGGGUCUGUGCAGAGUUGAGAGAUGGUGAUGACAUGUGGUUUCCAGCAUUCCUCACCCAGUCCAGGGACACUGUGGGUGUGCCCAGCUUAAGUCCAGUAACUGGAAAUACAAGCCCAAGUUCUGGAGAGUU
ensembl:lncRNA MAGI2-AS3 MAGI2 antisense RNA 3